AUUGAACGCUGGCGGCAGGCCUAACACAUGCAAGUCGAACGGUAGCACAGAGAGCUUGCUCUCGGGUGACGAGUGGCGGACGGGUGAGUAAUGUCUGGGAAACUGCCCGAUGGAGGGGGAUAACUACUGGAAACGGUAGCUAAUACCGCAUAAUGUCGCAAGACCAAAGAGGGGGACCUUCGGGCCUCUUGCCAUCGGAUGUGCCCAGAUGGGAUUAGCUAGUUGGUGAGGUAAUGGCUCACCAAGGCGACGAUCCCUAGCUGGUCUGAGAGGAUGACCAGCCACACUGGAACUGAGACACGGUCCAGACUCCUACGGGAGGCAGCAGUGGGGAAUAUUGCACAAUGGGCGCAAGCCUGAUGCAGCCAUGCCGCGUGUGUGAAGAAGGCCUUCGGGUUGUAAAGCACUUUCAGCGGGGAGGAAGGCAAUACGGUUAAUAACCGCGUUGAUUGACGUUACCCGCAGAAGAAGCACCGGCUAACUCCGUG
rnacentral:rRNA from 1 species